GACGAACGCUGGCGGCGUGCUUAACACAUGCAAGUCGAACGGAAAGGCCCUGCUUUUGUGGGGUGCUCGAGUGGCGAACGGGUGCGUAACAGGUGAGUACCCUGCCCUUGCCUUUGGGAUAACUUCAGGAAACUGGGGCUAAUAACGGCUAGGAGCUCCUACUGUAUGGUGGGGGUUGGAAAGUUUCGGCGGUUGGGGAUGGACUCGCGGCUUAUCAGCUCGUCGGUGGGGUAGUGGCUUACCAAGGCUUUGACGGGUAGCCGGCCUGAGAGGGUGACCGGCCACAUUGGGACUGAGAUGCGGCCCAGACUCCUACGGGAGGCAGCAGUGGGGGAUAUUGCACAAUGGGCGGAAGCCUGAUGCAGCAACGCCGCGUGCGGGAUGACGGCCGUCGGGUUGUAAACCGCUUUCGCCUGUGACGAAGCGUGAGUGACGGUAAUGGGUAAAGAAGCACCGGCUAACUACGUG
rnacentral:rRNA from 1 species